CCUCUUUGCCUCUUCGGCCACAUUCUUGUUCAAUUUUAACACCCAUAAUAGUAUCUCUCUACACACAGGUUAGCUGUCCACAAUUUUCAUCCAAUCCGGUUGACAGUAUGUUCUUACAACCGCUAAGCUAAAUCUUUGCUCACGAUCCAAAGUUCAUCAUCUAAUCUCUCAUGCAUACUGUUAUAUCUUACUUUUUUUGAGCAGGGGAGCAAUAGAUGCUUGAACUCUAAUGGCAGAAUUAGUCAGUGCUGCGAUUGUCCAGGAGACAGUUGGCCAAAUCCUAUCUGGUGUGGUUCAAAAAUAUGAGGAGAAAGAGGAAUCAAAUGAGAAAAGAAACUUGGAGAGGCUAGAGAUGGCACACAUCAGGCUGGAGGCUGCUCUUGAGACAUCUAAUAAUUGGAAGAUCACUGAUGCAUCCUUAUUGCGUUGGCGCAAGAAGCUGAAGCGUGCUGCUCAAGAGUGUGAUGACACACUGCACAAAUGCAAGCAGAGAAUCCUAGAAGACGAACAAAUGGAACGGGAGGUAAAGAAUUCCUCCCUCCCUAACCGUAUUGUGCAUGCUACCAAGUCAUUUGCUCUCUCCAUAUUUAAACGCAAUGACAAUGACUUGAGAAGAUCCAUUGCUCAAAGAUUUGAGUGGUAUGCAGAUGGUGCUAGUGAGUUUCUGAGAUUCAUAGAGCUUGGUGGCACACCACGCUGUCACAUGCCCUUUGAAUCUCUUGUCAAAAAUCUUUUUGCAGGCAAGGAACUACAUCAUAAAAUUGUUCGGGGAAAUGAGUAUCCUUUGUUUCAAUUAUGGUUGACUUCCAUCCGUAACCCAGUGCAUGGAAUGGAGGUUAGCCUAGUAUUUAUCCAGUAUGAUGGUACACCAGAGGGUAGUAUCUGCUUUAGUUUGGCCGUACAGCUCUCGGAGAGUAUAGACAUAGUUGGGAUUGCAGUUAAGUGCCUCCAGUUAUUUGCCCCUCAUUUCAAGUGUAAAUUGGAAAAUAUUAGAAAUGAACUUACUCAACUGCCCCAUGAAGACUUCUCAUGGGGGCCCUCUUUUUAUUCGGACCAUAAAGAACAUUGGGACAAACUCAGUAGCUUGUCCUCUCAGUUGAAUCGGCCAAACCCAUUUUGUUGCAAGGAGCAUGGACAGCAUGAGGUUCAACGUUUUAGCAACAUGGACAUGGCAGGAUUAUCAGAUGGUUUGCUAGAACCAGUAAUUCAAUUUACUUUGCAUUGCCACGUCUCACUACCUAUGUACAGAAAACAGAAGACCUCACUGUGUGAAGACCUAAUUUCUCUGCAAGAUUAUCCAUAUCUGAAAGCUGGGAUCGCCUUUUCGCCCCAUGGCUCUUUAGAGAACAUGCUGCCAGCGAAUAGGAGUUCUGAGAUAGUGGCGAUAGUCCACAAGGAGCAACAUUUCUUGCAUACAGACAUUACCCUGGAACAGCUAGAAGAGAUUAUGCUGCCAAAGGCAAUAGAUUACUUCCGCCAGAAUGCCGAUGCAAUGGUUUACCAAAUGCUUUGGAAGUCUAAACAUGGCUUUGCACUUAUUCAGGUUGAGAAGCCAUGCAUGAGCGCAUGGAGAUCAAGCAUGAGAAGACGGACCACUUCUGGGGGAGCUAGGAAAAGAAAGCUAUUUCAAGGAGAUGAUGAGGAGUUCAUUAGGAAUCGGAUACGUCUCUGUCACUGGCUUGACUCAUGGUUUACACAUGUGCCUGUCCGGUUGCAAAAGUCGCUCAUGAAUUGGAUUCGGAAAGAAAAAGAAAUUUUGAUAGCAGCACCACAGUUACACCUAAAAUUCUAAAUCAUUUCAUUAAAGAAGAAGAGGGUACAGAAAAACAAAACCACAACAGCUCUGGGAUCUAGAAGUGCUAUGUUCUACAUUAGGAACCUAUGCAACUGUAGCACAUCACUUGUUCUUGGUUUCAAUUUGUGUGUCUUGUAUGUGUGAUGUUUGGUUCUCACCAAUUGAGUAUACGCUGGGAAUUACUGAAUUACAUGGGAGAUCAGAAUGCAGUGCAUUUGUAAGUGUUGACUUAUAAGUGUAGGGUCAUCACUUGUUCUUAUUUUCCAUGUGACUUUCAAGUGUGUAGCUACUUUCGUUAUGAACUUUUUCAGUAAUUGGGUCGUUUUGCAUCCUUGUGAGCUGAAGUUGCUGCCUGAAUAUGUUUCAGUCCCGGAACAUGUUCUCGGCCUCCUUUUUGUGUAUUGGAUGGAUACGGUUUCCGGUCAGGGGAUUUCACUUUGGUAAAAAAUUAAAGGAAAAGAAAAAAAACUGCUGUUGCCGUUCAAGAAAUGUUUCGGUUGCUCGACCAAAGUCAGUCAAAGAAUGGAUUGCUAGGACAACGUUGACCACGUGCAAACAACUUGUGACAUGCCUCGAUGAAUGGACUCGUGCUGUCCCUAGCACACUUCUUCACGGCCGGGAAACGGGAUGCAUAGAUGAAAUACUGGAGACUAGCAGAAAGGCAGGCUGUCGCCGAUGAGGGUGUCAUGUGAGGGGUGGGUGCAAUCGAGUUCCUUCCUUGUGCAGUGAUGCAUAGAUGGGGAGAUGUUCAGAGCUUUAUAUUUGUUUCAUUCUCUGGUCCUCGUCAGCUAUCCAACUACUCUCUGUAUGAUUUCCCACGUAGAUGUUGACCACGUAAAAUAAUGCCCGUUGGGCAAUUAUAUAUACAACAGAUGACAAGUACUCAAAUGCAAAGUGUCAAAUGCAAAGUGUCAUGUUGCCGUUAAAGUCGACAAUAUAUAAACUGAGGCAACUUUAAGUCGAAGAACAAUCCUACUAUAUAUAUACAUGCACACAUACACACACACAUAUAUUGCCACAUUCUUUUCAUAGCAAUCCCCAUGCCUAACUAAUCAAACUCAUGGCAGGAUUAUCAGAUGUUUUGCUAGAACCAGUAAUUCAAUUUACUUUGCAUUGUCAAGUCUCAUUAUCUGUUUACAGCAAACAGGAGACCUCACUAAAGACCUAAUUUCUAUGCAAUUAUCCAUAUCUGAAAGUUGGAAUCUCCUUUUAUUUGUGCCCCAUGGCUCUUUAGAGGACAUGCUUCCGGCACUCUAUUUUAAUUUCCUGUUUCGUUUGGGAGCAGAAGCGUAGCCUCAUUUCUUCAAUUAAGGUUGCCCCUAAAUUAUCCUUGCUCAAGUUUAGUUCAUUAAUAUAUCAGUGGAACAUGAUAGCCAGCCAGCUAGGUCUUUUAUUUAUAAUGGAUAAAGUCCCGACUUCAACCUCUUCAUAACAGAGGUACCAGUCCACGAUUAUUACAAAAUGUAACCCAAGCUAUUAAACAGUCCAUCACAUACUUAUCAUAGAUAGCACGUAAGAACUUGUUACAACUUAUUAACACAACAUUAUUUUUUGUGAUCCAUAUUGCCCAACAAAACACUAAAGACCCAGAUAACAAAUUUAGUAAUUAGGAUACCACUUCUCGAUCGUUAAGAUUUUUUCACGUGGCACGCCAUGGCCUGUAAGGGCUCUCCUGACUUCCUGUAAAGAGCAGAAGGCAUCAUCAGUAUCAUCAUUGCAUUGAUUUUGCUCGAAGACCACCCAUAUUUCGGACAAGUAGGACAAUGUAUGUACUUUCCAAACAAGAUGACACUAGUAGAGAAUUGACCUUCAAUCCAACCCCUUUAGUCCUGGUUAAUAUUGGAUCCGUGACUAAAGUGACUUUAGUUCCAUGUCAAAAAAGUGCUACAGGGAUAGUCCCGGUUGGCAUUUCCAACCGGGACAAAACCACCAACUGGGAAAAAAGGGGUGGUAUUUUCUCCUAGUUGGAAUUUUCAACCAGGACAAAAUCUCCUCCACUAUAAAAUUACCGGAUCGAGAGCUCUUCUUCCUCCCCCAGCCAGAGCCACUCCACUCCACCAGAGACACUUGGCCUCAGUCACACCUAGUUUUAAAACAAAACCAAGUGCUACCUAUAUGUAUGCCAAGAUCUAGUUACAUACAUAUAGUGACAUCAUUAGUGAAUAAUAAAAACAGUAUCAUGUAAAAAAAAUAUAGAGUCUAUCAGAGAUUUACAGCUUAAUCCUGGUAACGAAGGCUCCAAGCUUCACAGGCAAUCAACCGGGGGUUGUGUACACCUAGAACUCAUCACCAUCUUCACAACAACUUCAUAGCAGCUUCUUCUUCUGAGCAAUGUUAGUUAUAGCAAGGGUGAGCACAUGUCGUACUCAUGAAGUGUGGAGAAAUUAUGUAUGCAAGGCUUAAACAAGGAAAGGCUUACUGGUUUACUAUGAUAAGCAGUUUUAAUUGGUCAAUUUUAUUAGCACCUGAUUACUAAGGUAUAAGUAUAUACCAACCCACAUUUAACAUAAACAUAAGCCAUAACCAUAUAGCACAACCAUAACCACGAUUGAAGUACAUCUUCAAGUAUAUUAAUCAUGUGAGGGUCAAGGCCGCUCUUGACCGUGAGCAUGGCUGAUCAAUCAGUUUUACAUCUCUGCAGAGGUCGCACAACUUUACCCACAAGUUGCAUAAAAGUUCAUAGAACUCUGAACCCAACCAUGCGGUGCUAGCUAGGCACCAUACCAUACUUCCGAGGUGUGAUUGCAUAGGGACGCUAUGAGUCCUUUACAAAGAUUCGUUAGCAUGUGGUAACCCGCUAAGGAUUCAGGUCGAAGCACAGCAUAAACCUCCCUAGUGGGCAUACGGUCUUAGCCAAGCUCCCUUCCCAAGAGGACCGGGUUAUACUCCAUCAACGCCUCCCCUCUCACCCUUUCGGUAAGAUUACCCCACACUAAAGUCUCUAAUUAAUUAGCCAAGACUAGAGCCAUAUAGUUUUUGUGAUUGUACUAUUUUCUUGGGUGGUCACUCCAUGUUCCAAUUAAGCAUUGUGAUCUUGUAUUAGUGAAAGUUAUAGCAUAAAUAAAACAAGUUUUAUCAUUGAGUUCAUUAAAACCACCAUAACCCAAGUAUAGCAGCUAAGCAUAUCUACCUAAAAGAAAGAUAAACCCAGGUUGACAAGGAAUGAUCAUAACAACUAGGCAAACCUUAAUAGGACCCAUCAAAUUAAAUGAAAGCAUAUGCAAUAGUGAUUAAAUAAAUUUAUUGGGACAAGAGCACAAGGACACACUUGCCUUCCUAUAAGUAGUGUUGCUGCUAAGAAUGUCUUCCACUUCUUGCUCUUGAAUAUCCUUGAAGUACGUUCGUUCUACUCACAUCAAUCAUCCAAGACAAACAUCCAGAGCACGCACAUACAAGCAAACAAAAGAACUAAAUUAAAAAUAGUACACCAAUCAUCAUAAACAGCACUGAAAAAUGGUACAAAACUAAUCUACACAUUAACACAAAUGCGUGAGCGAAAGAAUCACUCAAAACCGAGAGCUUGCUGGCAACGAUUAGAAACUUUCAGGGGAUUAACUGCGAAAACCAAGAGCUUAAACGCGUUAAAAACUUUGGAUUGUACUGGAUCGUGACAUUAGAACUUUUCUUGAGGGUUGAAGUGCAAAGCUACCUUAUCUUCUUCAACCUUCCUCCCGUGGCCGAUGGCAGCUCCCGACUGAUGGGGUGAGCUUCGGCUGAUAGUGGCGCGCGGUGGCAACACGGGGUGUAGUGACGGCGAGAUCAGGAGGCAUAGGGCCGGCGGCGCGCUGCACGAGGCAGGGUCGGGUACGACAGGUAGCGCGAGGCACACGAGAGGCAGGCACGGGCGUAGAGCCGGGCGGUGCUAUAGGCGGCGGCCGGUUGCUGCGGCGCUGGAGGGUAGGACGGCGGCGGGCGAGGAAAGAGACGCGAUGAGGUGAGAGUUUUGCCGGCAGAAGAAAACAGUGGCGGCUCAGGCCUUCAUGUGGAGGUGCUCCGUCGGCAGUGGAUCGGCGACUGUGAGGGUGGUGGUGAUGCACGGCGGCUCGGUGGAACCUGUGGCGCCGAUGGUUUGCUCCGGCGAGCGACGAAGCCAGCGAAUCGGGCAAGCUGGCGGCGGCACCCAGCUCGGCCGGUGGAUGAAGGGUGGUGGCACUGCGCGAGGUAAGGUGGCCGCGGGCAGCAGGGGGUCGAGUGCCCGAGGCGACCCCUUUAUAGGGCACGGGGCAUCUGGCGCGCUGGGCGCGGACGCCCAAAUGCGGCGGUGGCAGCGCCACCAAGCCAUGCUCGGCCUGGGCACGAGUAGAGCCGGCUAAUGGGCCUGGCUGGGCCUGCGGAUGGGUCGAUUGGAGCGGGUUGGGCCCACAGGCUCGGCUUGGUAGGAUAGGUUAUAUCAGUUUCAGAAAUAAUUUCUCCUGAUUGAAAAAAUCUAGAAACAUGUAGAUAAUUCCAUAAAGUCACAAAAAAUACUUUGAAAAUCCCAAUAAGUUCCAGGAAUUUGCUAGAGAUAGAUUGAGACACGAGGACUCCAAAUAAAAUACUUGCAACUCGUCAAAAGGAUUCUGGAGCCUUCAAAAAAUUAGAUUUAGCUCUUAGAAAAAGGAGAAUAAAUUUCAGAAAAAAGCUGGAAAAUUCUCAGAAGGGUCUGGACAACGUCUAAAUGCAUAUUAAAACAUUUUUGCACCCAUGAAAAACCAAGAUGCAUCAGCAUGAAUGAACAGACACAGAACAACAUUAUUAAAUUCUGAAAACAAACAAUUAUUUUUCCUACACUAAAUUUCCUGUAAAGAAAAAUAAAUGUUGGGAAAAUUUUAAAAAUUAUAAGAAAAUCAUUGUUUAUUUAUUUCUUUUAAUCACAUCCUGAAAUUCAAAAAUUUCAGGGUGUGACAAUUAUGCUGCCAAAGGCAAUAGAUUACUUCCACCAGAAUGUCGAAGCAAUGGUUUAUCAAAUGCUUUGGAAGUCUAAACAUGGCUUUGCACGUAUUCAGGUUGAGAAGCCAUGCAUGAGCGCAUGGAGAUCAAGUAUGAGAAGACAGAGCACUUCUGGGGGAGCUAGGAAAAGAAAGCUGUUUCAAGGAGACGAUGAGGAGCUCAUUAGGAGUCGGAUACAUCUCUAUCACUAGCUUGACUCAUGGUUUUCACAUGUGCAUGUCCGGUUGCAAAGGUGGCUCAUGAAUUGAAUUCGGAAAGAAAAGGAAAUUUUGAUAGCAGCACCACAGUUACACCUGAAAUUCUAAAUCAUUUCAUUAAAGAAGAAGAGGAUAAAGAAAAACAAAACCGCAACAGCUCUGGGAUCGAGAAGUGCUAUGUUCCACAUUAGGAACCUAUGCAACUGUAGCAC
rnacentral:lncRNA from 1 species